rnacentral:rRNA from 1 species
UACGGAGGGGGCUAGCGUUGUUCGGAAUUACUGGGCGUAAAGCGUGCGUAGACGGUUACGUAAGUCGGGUGUGAAAGCCCCGGGCUCAACCUGGGAAUUGCAUUCGAGACUGCGUAGCUAGGGUGCGGAAGAGGGAAGCGGAAUUUCCGGUGUAGCGGUGAAAUGCGUAGAUAUCGGAAGGAACAUCAGUGGCGAAAGCGGCUUCCUGGUCCAGCACCGACGUUCAGGCACGAAAGCGUGGGGAGCAAACAGG